rnacentral:rRNA from 1 species
AACGAACGCUGGCGGCAUGCCUAACACAUGCAAGUCGAACGAAGGCUUCGGCCUUAGUGGCGCACGGGUGCGUAACGCGUGGGAAUCUGCCCUUUGGUUCGGAAUAACAGCUGGAAACGGCUGCUAAUACCGGAUGAUGACGAAAGUCCAAAGAUUUAUCGCCAGAGGAUGAGCCCGCGUUGGAUUAGGUAGUUGGUGGGGUAAAGGCCUACCAAGCCGACGAUCCAUAGCUGGUCUGAGAGGAUGAUCAGCCACACUGGGACUGAGACACGGCCCAGACUCCUACGGGAGGCAGCAGUGGGGAAUAUUGGACAAUGGGCGCAAGCCUGAUCCAGCAAUGCCGCGUGAGUGAUGAAGGCCCUAGGGUUGUAGAGCUCUUUUACCCGGGAAGAUAAUGACUGUACCGGGAGAAUAAGCCCCGGCUAACUCCGUG